UCGAAGUAGAGCUUAAAUUAGAACAGCAUUUCAUUUACGUUGGAGAGGGUUAUCGUGCAAAUCGAUUUAUUUCGAG
rnacentral:tRNA from 1 species